GUGCCAGCAGCCGCGGUAAUACGGAGGGUCCGAGCGUUAAUCGGAAUUACUGGGCGUAAAGCGUGCGCAGGCGGUUUGUUAAGCCAGAUGUGAAAUCCCCGGGCUCAACCUGGGAAUUGCAUUUGGAACUGGCGAACUACAGUCUUGUAGAGGGGGGUAGAAUUCCAGGUGUAGCGGUGGAAAUGCGUAGAUAUCUGGAGGAAUACCGGUGGCGAAGGCGGUCCCCUGGACAAAAUACUGAUGCUCAUGCACGAAAGCGUGUUGAGCAUACAGUGAUUAGAUACCCUGGUAGUCC
rnacentral:rRNA from 1 species